UGGGGAAUUGUUCGCAAUGGGCGAAAGCCUGACGACGCAACGCCGCGUGGAGGAUGAAGAAUUUCGGUUCGUAAACUCCUUUCGACCGAGAUGAAUAUCCGCCGAUUUAAUACGUCGGCGGACUGACAGUAUCGAGAGAAGAAGCCCCGGCUAACUCUGUGCCAGCAGCCGCGGUAAUACAGGGGGGGCAAGCGUUGUUCGGAAUUACUGGGCGUAAAGGGUUCGUAGGUGGCCACUUAAGUCAGACGUGAAAUCCCUCAGCUUAACUGGGGAACUGCGUCUGAUACUGCGUGGCUUGAGUGCAGGAGAGGAAUGCGGAAUUCCAGGUGUAGCGGUGAAAUGCGUAGAUAUCUGGAGGAACACCGGUGGCGAAGGCGGCAUUCUGGACUGUAACUGACACUGAGGAACGAAAGCCAGGGGGAGCAAACGGGAUUAGAUACCCCGGUAGUCCCUGGCCCUAAACGAUGAAUGCUUGGUGUGGCGGGUAUCGAUCCCUGCCGUGACCG
rnacentral:rRNA from 1 species